rnacentral:lncRNA from 1 species
CCAUGGUCAACCCCACCAUGUUCUUCAACAUCACAGUCAAACAGCGAGCCCUUGGGCCACGUCUCCUUCGAGCUGUUUGCAGACAAGUUUCCAAAGACAACAGAAAACUUUUGUGCUCUGACCACUGGAGAGAAAGGAUUUGGUUAUAAGGGUUCCUGCUUUCACAGAAUUAUUCCAGGGUUUAUGUGUCCGGUUGGAUGGCAAGCAUGUGGUCUUUGGCAAGGUGAAAGAAGGCAUGAAUAUUGUGGAGGCCAUGGGGCACUUUGGGUCUGGGAAUGGCAAGACCAGCAAGGAGAUCACCAUUGCUGACUGUGGACAACUCUAA